GACCUUUAUAAUUUUUUCACUUGUGUGACCAAUUUAAAGAAAAUCUAUUUCAUCAAGUCCCUUUUAUAAUUGUCUGUAUUGAUUCCAGUUCAUCUUUUUAUGAUUAUUAUUUUGAAAUUAAAAGUGUUUUGUAUCUUGAGAAGAGGCAAAGGAAUUAAUUAUAAAAUAUAUAUUGAUGUGAACGUGAUCCAAUGAUCUGAUGCAGCUGAAGGUGAUCUUUAUAUUUCACAGUGAGUUGUCUGGACAAUGUGUUAGGCUGGGAAAAGUUGGAGUGAGGAAGGUCAGCUCUUUCUCCUAAGUCUGCAUCUGCUUCCACUUCCCACAGGAUCAGAAUAAAAGACCACUUCCUAUGAUCUGCAAGUUACCCAUUGCUAGACAGUUUUCCAAGCCAAAUCUUGAAAGGAGCAGGGGCAUCAAAUUCUAGGUUGAUUGAAGCUCAAUUCUCUCUCCAGAAGGAUGAACAUCAAAGAAGAUGAGAAGAAUGUCAAAGAGGAUAGGAUCUCUCACUAAAAGACCCUUCAUAUGUCCGCCAGUACCUAUGGACUGAUGGAAAAAAAACAUUUGGCUUGUAAGCUUCCCUAAUAAAUCUCAUUGUUUAACUCAUGCCAUAUGAUAUACAGUGGGAUUCAACUACUUACCCAACAAUAGGUCUUCCUAGUGUUUUUCACUACUGUCCUCCUUGUCCUAUCCUAUCUAUCCUCUGUUUAGCCAUUGGAUAGCUAAGAAAGUUUGUGAUGCUAGAAAGGAAGAAAAUUUAUAAGCCUCAGAGGAGACUAGGAAACAGGGCAAAUUUUCAGGUAUCCAAGUAUUAAACACUUAAUUGUGUUUUGCUCAUUGAACCAGAAACCAUGUACUAUUUGAUGUAGUUUUCAGUGCCUGUUGAGGAAAUAUUUAAGAUGUUCACAUUAUACAUGAUGGGAGGGCAUAGUGGGACAAAGGGAGAGAAAUUUUCUAAAUUUAGUCAUGCUAUAAUGGUAAAUGUCAACAGAAGUAUACCAUGACAAAAGGCUGGCAGCAAUGCAGAGAAAAAAACAUCUCCCAUGUAUUGAGGGUGGGAUAUAAAAUGGUACAGAUACUCUGGAAAAUAGUUUUAUCAUUUCUUACAAAAUUAAAUAUAUGCUUAUCAUAUAUAUGACCUAACCACUUCACUUCUGAGUAAUUUUCCCAAAGAAAUUAAAGCUUAUGCCUUAAAUGAAAGGUUGUAUAUGAUAUGAAUCUACUUAAAUAAUACUCUGAAAAUGACAAAAGUAUAGAAAUAGAAAACAAAAUAGUAGAUGCCAGGGUCUAGGGAAGGGGUAUUAGGGAGAUGGGGGUGACUAUAAAAGACAUGAAAUGAGGAAGAUCUUUGUGGUGAUGAAAUUGUUGUUAUGUCUUGAGGGCAGUUGUACCAAGAAAAAAUAGUUUGCUUUAUGCUUUUAAAGACAGCAAUACACACAUUUAAUUGGGACCUUAAAAUCAAUCAUUAGGACAUUAAAUCAUUACGAAAUAACAACAGCAAACAUUUUUAAAUUUUAACUUAAAACAGAUAUGUACAGUAGUUAAGAGUAUGAGUUCUAGAGUUAUACAGAACUGAAUUAAUAAACUGUGUAAUCUACAGUCAAUUACUUCCCUUUUUGUACCUAUCCUUCUUUAUCUGUAAACUAGAAUAACAAUACAGUAUUACUUACCUUAAACAACUAUGUGAUAAUGAGAUAAUCCCUGGAAUGGUUUUAGCAGAAUGCCUU
rnacentral:lncRNA from 1 species